rnacentral:lncRNA from 1 species
GGGAAAACACUUGCCGAUUCAACGAUACAACGCCACUUCACGAAAAUGACACCAAAGCAUAGCAACACACAAGACUUAAACAUUGAAGAACCGUUACAAAAGUAAAGACAGGUUGAUCACCGGUUUAAAAAAAUGUACUAGCCUUCGGCCUUCUUUGAAGCAUUUAGUCGAACAUAUAGGAUGCACCAGUUAACAAAAGGAACCUAGUCUCACUUGGGACAUAGAUUUGGGGCAAACGUCAACACUACAUGCACAAGCCAUACUAAAAAUCCGCUCAUGGACCAGUUAAUCAAGUCGGAACAGACAUAAACGAAGAACAACCAUCUCCAGGCUUCAAAAAAACUUGCAGAACUUAGAUAUAAUUUAGGCAUUUUCACAAGCACUUGGUGUGCUCGAUUGGCACGGGGGAUUUUCCACUUGAUAGAGACAUGAGACAAAUCUAAACUGCUACCACGUACUAGAAUAGCUAGUAGCUUACCAAGAGGACCGGCUCGGACCGAAACUUGCGCGAACUAGUCAGCACGAGUUCCGGCCCAACGCCUCCCAAGAAACAAGAGACACACGCUCAAAACAAAGCCUACCUGGUUCGAGAGGAGGGCUGCGGCGAUGAACGGACCUCCGGCGACGACCAAACACUCUCCCAAGCUUGCUCUUCGGUGUUCUCUGCUCUCUCUCGACUUCGGGCAACGGCGAAACGCUCUCUC